GACGAACGCUGGCGGCGUGCUUAACACAUGCAAGUCGAGCGGUAAGGCCCUUUCGGGGGUACACGAGCGGCGAACGGGUGAGUAACACGUGGGUGACCUGCCCUCAGCUCUGGGAUAAGCCUGGGAAACCGGGUCUAAUACCGGAUAUGACUCCAUGACGCAUGUUGUGGGGGUGGAAAGCCUUGUGCGGCUGAGGAUGGGCCCGCGGCCUAUCAGCUUGGUUGGUGGGGUGAUGGCCUACCAAGGCGACGACGGGUAGCCGGCCUGAGAGGGCGACCGGCCACACUGGGACUGAGACACGGCCCAGA
rnacentral:rRNA from 1 species